CUUUGUUUAAGCCUCUUUAGGAACCGACACUUCUCAUUAAACCGUUGGUGAUUUCCUUUUUCACGUUUCCUGCCAGCGAGGCGACGAAACUGCAGCUGUGAACGGAGCCGAGUAAGCUCGGGUCAGGAUGGAGUGAGGCAGACCGGGUUGAAGCCGUGGAGGUGGAGUCACACUUCCUGCUGUCAGGAGAGGAGGUGGAGGAGGGCCACGUGGCGAGAGCUGGGAGGACAACAUCCAGGUUUGAGGAGCCUGAGAAGGAGCAAAGUCCCCCGUGGAUGAGCAGUGUCGUGCACGCCCGGACUCUGAAGUCCUGGCUUUGGUUCCCAGCUGUGAAACACGACUCCGACCUGUGAGGAGGAUCGUCUUCCCGUGACGGGUUUUAUUAUUUUGGCCUCUAUCAGAGACAUCCAGAUCAUUCCUUCCUCUGAUGCUCUGCCUGAUCUUGGAGAAUCUGACUCGACUUAUUGAACUGGCUGAAACCAGGAAGCAGCAGCCAACGUGAAUCGUGCUGUGAGCGCAGAGUCAGCUGUAGAGCCCUCAGACAGGAGCCCCGCCCUCUGGUCUGUGACCUCAGCUGUUUCCUCUGAAGCCCGGUUGCCCGUUUUCUGUGUGAUGUCAUCAGAGGAGCAGCUGUUUGGUGGUUGUGGGCAGCACGCUCCUGUUUUCAUGUUUCAUUAACCAGUUUCAGCUGAAACUGAAUUUAGAUGUGGAGCUCUCAGACUCAGAGGACCCAGGUCCCAGUCUAACCAGUAUAACACUGGUCCUGCUUUCCUGGUAUCAGGUCAUUUGUGUCACGUUCAUAUCAUCCAUGUGGCAGUUUCACUUUGAACUGUUACCUUCCACAGACCCAGGCUGGAGCUCUGAUUGGUCGUCUGCUUUAACCUGCACUACAAAGCUAACACACACAUGUAGAAAAUAACACGUAUGAGAGAGAGUGGAGUCUGAAAGUCAUGCUGUAGCUUAGCAUGUGAGCACAUCUCUCUGACCCUGGACACGUGGAUGAUAUAAGACUGUAUGUAAUUCUUAACUGUAUUUUG
ensembl:lncRNA